AUGUGUGUGGGGCAGUGUAUGUCUGUGUCGGCUCAGAGGGCACACAUGGCACUGGCCACUCCCGGCAGGCCCCACGUGUGCCCGGGGCGCAGGGAUACCAGCGAGCGGGCUGGGACGCACCCCAGCCCUGGUGGGGACAAGGCGCUGGCCCGCGUGGCUCUGGGCCCCCUUUCUCUGCACCUCUCAGCCCAUCUCUUCGUGUGUCUCUCCGUCUCUGUCUCUCUUUCUUUGUCUGACUGUGGUUUUCUCUCUUGUCUGUUCCUCUCCAGCUUUCUCUGCUGUCUGGCCCCUGGCUCUGUCUGGACAAUUUUCUGUUUCUUUCUGUUCCCUUCCUUAACCCCUCCACCCCCCUUCCUCCCACUUCUUGGUCUUUCUCUGUGUGCUUCUCAUUUUCUGUCUCUGUUUCUCAGUAUUGCUAGUUUCUCUUUUUCUCUGUGCCUCGCUGCCGUCUCUCUUUUUUUCUCUAGUCUGUGUGUGUGUGUGUGUCUGUCCCUCAGGUUUCCUUCCUUAUCAAUCCCUCCAUGCUUGUCUCUUCCCCAGGCCCUCUCUCACCUCCGUGCCUUUGCCCAGGCUGUUUCCACAGCUGGGAGUGCCCUUUCUUCCUUCUCUGCAGCCUGGCAAACUCCUGUUCAUCCUUCAAAACACAUCUCAGAGGCCACAGUCCACCUCUGGGAGAUUUCCCUAACCCCCUGGAACUUGUCGUGGGGGUUCACGCAGCUCAUCCACUGGAACAAGAGCUUGAGGGGCUGGGGAAGUUCUCACUGCUGUGCCCCGAUCUGGCCCACGUGGGCGAUGUUUGGUCAGAGAAGGGAGGCGGGAAAGCUUGCUCUGUCUCUCGCACCUCUUGUCUCCAGCUCCUUCUCUGCUUUUGAUCCUUCACUCUGGGCCUCUGUUCAGUUGCUUCUGCUUGACUCCUCACGAGAUAGACAGAGUGGAGAGGGAGAGAUGGCCCCUCUGCCAGGACCACCAUCCUCGGCCUCUCUGCCUGUUCCUUCUGCAGCCCUGUCCAGUUGCCAGCCCAUUUCGGGGACUGGAGACCCUAGGACUCCCAUGUCCCUUCCACCUUCCCUUCCUGGUUUCAGUGGUUUUCCUCUUAUUCUACACACCUGUUUUUUGAGAAAAAUAAGAUGUUUUCUUAUUUUUUAUAUCUAUAAAUAUAAAUAA
rnacentral:lncRNA from 1 species